rnacentral:rRNA from 1 species
UUAAGCGACUAAGCGUACACGGUGGAUGCCCUGGCAGUCAGAGGCGAUGAAGGACGUGCUAAUCUGCGAUAAGCGUCGGUAAGGUGAUAUGAACCGUUAUAACCGGCGAUUUCCGAAUGGGGAAACCCAGUGUGUUUCGACACACUAUCAUUAACUGAAUCCAUAGGUUAAUGAGGCGAACCGGGGGAACUGAAACAUCUAAGUACCCCGAGGAAAAGAAAUCAACCGAGAUUCCCCCAGUAGCGGCGAGCGAACGGGGAGCAGCCCAGAGCCUGAAUCAGUGUGUGUGUUAGUGGAAGCGUCUGGAAAGGCGCGCGAUACAGGGUGACAGCCCCGUACACAAAAAUGCACAUGCUGUGAGCUCGAUGAGUAGGGCGGGACACGUGGUAUCCUGUCUGAAUAUGGGGGGACCAUCCUCCAAGGCUAAAUACUCCUGACUGACCGAUAGUGAACCAGUACCGUGAGGGAAAGGCGAAAAGAACCCCGGCGAGGGGAGUGAAAAAGAACCUGAAACCGUGUACGUACAAGCAGUGGGAGCACGCUUAGGCGUGUGACUGCGUACCUUUUGUAUAAUGGGUCAGCGACUUAUAUUCUGUAGCAAGGUUAACCGAAUAGGGGAGCCGAAGGGAAACCGAGUCUUAACUGGGCGUUAAGUUGCAGGGUAUAGACCCGAAACCCGGUGAUCUAGCCAUGGGCAGGUUGAAGGUUGGGUAACACUAACUGGAGGACCGAACCGACUAAUGUUGAAAAAUUAGCGGAUGACUUGUGGCUGGGGGUGAAAGGCCAAUCAAACCGGGAGAUAGCUGGUUCUCCCCGAAAGCUAUUUAGGUAGCGCCUCGUGAAUUCAUCUCCGGGGGUAGAGCACUGUUUCGGCAAGGGGGUCAUCCCGACUUACCAACCCGAUGCAAACUGCGAAUACCGGAGAAUGUUAUCACGGGAGACACACGGCGGGUGCUAACGUCCGUCGUGAAGAGGGAAACAACCCAGACCGCCAGCUAAGGUCCCAAAGUCAUGGUUAAGUGGGAAACGAUGUGGGAAGGCCCAGACAGCCAGGAUGUUGGCUUAGAAGCAGCCAUCAUUUAAAGAAAGCGUAAUAGCUCACUGGUCGAGUCGGCCUGCGCGGAAGAUGUAACGGGGCUAAACCAUGCACCGAAGCUGCGGCAGCGACGCUGAUGCGUUGUUGGGUAGGGGAGCGUUCUGUAAGCCUGUGAAGGUGUGCUGUGAGGCAUGCUGGAGGUAUCAGAAGUGCGAAUGCUGACAUAAGUAACGAUAAAGCGGGUGAAAAGCCCGCUCGCCGGAAGACCAAGGGUUCCUGUCCAACGUUAAUCGGGGCAGGGUGAGUCGACCCCUAAGGCGAGGCCGAAAGGCGUAGUCGAUGGGAAACAGGUUAAUAUUCCUGUACUUGGUGUUACUGCGAAGGGGGGACGGAGAAGGCUAUGUUGGCCGGGCGACGGUUGUCCCGGUUUAAGCGUGUAGGCUGGUUUUCCAGGCAAAUCCGGAAAAUCAAGGCUGAGGCGUGAUGACGAGGCACUACGGUGCUGAAGCAACAAAUGCCCUGCUUCCAGGAAAAGCCUCUAAGCAUCAGGUAACAUCAAAUCGUACCCCAAACCGACACAGGUGGUCAGGUAGAGAAUACCAAGGCGCUUGAGAGAACUCGGGUGAAGGAACUAGGCAAAAUGGUGCCGUAACUUCGGGAGAAGGCACGCUGAUAUGUAGGUGAAGUCCCUCGCGGAUGGAGCUGAAAUCAGUCGAAGAUACCAGCUGGCUGCAACUGUUUAUUAAAAACACAGCACUGUGCAAACACGAAAGUGGACGUAUACGGUGUGACGCCUGCCCGGUGCCGGAAGGUUAAUUGAUGGGGUUAGCCGCAAGGCGAAGCUCUUGAUCGAAGCCCCGGUAAACGGCGGCCGUAACUAUAACGGUCCUAAGGUAGCGAAAUUCCUUGUCGGGUAAGUUCCGACCUGCACGAAUGGCGUAAUGAUGGCCAGGCUGUCUCCACCCGAGACUCAGUGAAAUUGAACUCGCUGUGAAGAUGCAGUGUACCCGCGGCAAGACGGAAAGACCCCGUGAACCUUUACUAUAGCUUGACACUGAACAUUGAGCCUUGAUGUGUAGGAUAGGUGGGAGGCUUAGAAGUGUGGACGCCAGUCUGCAUGGAGCCGACCUUGAAAUACCACCCUUUAAUGUUUGAUGUUCUAACGUUGACCCGUAAUCCGGGUUGCGGACAGUGUCUGGUGGGUAGUUUGACUGGGGCGGUCUCCUCCUAAAGAGUAACGGAGGAGCACGAAGGUUGGCUAAUCCUGGUCGGACAUCAGGAGGUUAGUGCAAUGGCAUAAGCCAGCUUGACUGCGAGCGUGACGGCGCGAGCAGGUGCGAAAGCAGGUCAUAGUGAUCCGGUGGUUCUGAAUGGAAGGGCCAUCGCUCAACGGAUAAAAGGUACUCCGGGGAUAACAGGCUGAUACCGCCCAAGAGUUCAUAUCGACGGCGGUGUUUGGCACCUCGAUGUCGGCUCAUCACAUCCUGGGGCUGAAGUAGGUCCCAAGGGUAUGGCUGUUCGCCAUUUAAAGUGGUACGCGAGCUGGGUUUAGAACGUCGUGAGACAGUUCGGUCCCUAUCUGCCGUGGGCGCUGGAGAACUGAGGGGGGCUGCUCCUAGUACGAGAGGACCGGAGUGGACGCAUCACUGGUGUUCGGGUUGUCAUGCCAAUGGCACUGCCCGGUAGCUAAAUGCGGAAGAGAUAAGUGCUGAAAGCAUCUAAGCACGAAACUUGCCCCGAGAUGAGUUCUCCCUGAC